rnacentral:ncRNA from 1 species
UCUGGUCUAUUCAGAAGCUGAGGGUAAAAGGGAAACAGGUCAGAAUCCUGUACGAUCUCGUCACUGUAUUGUAGGAGUAUAUGGCUGUUGAUGAUUUUUCAUCAUAAUAUGUCACUGAUUUUCAGAAUUGGGAAGGCUGCCAUAUAUGCUGAUCACUAAGUCAGGAAACCUGCCGUUUGUGAA